AGAGUUUGAUCAUGGCUCAGAACGAACGCUGGCGGCGCGUCUUAAACAUGCAAGUCGAACGAUCUGUAGCAAUACAGGGAGUGGCGGACGGGUGAGGAACACGUAGGAAUCUACCUAGAAGAGCGGGACAACCUUGGGAAACCGGGGCUAAUACCGCAUAGUACAGUGAUGUUAAAGGGCUAGCAAUAGUCGCUUCUAGAUGAGCCUGCGGUCUAUCAGCUUGUUGGCGGGGUAAUGGCCCACCAAGGCUACGACGGAUAGCCGGUCUGAGAGGAUGAUCGGCCACACUGGCACUGAGACACGGGCCAGACUCCUACGGGAGGCAGCAGUUAAGAAUCUUGCGCAAUGGACGAAAGUCUGACGCAGCGACGCCGCGUGAAGGAUGAAGGCUUUCGGGUUGUAAACUUCGGUAGACUGGGAAGAAAAAGUAAGUUCGUUGAGGGCUUACAUUGACGGUACCAGUCUGAAGCCCCGGCUAAUUACGUG
rnacentral:rRNA from 1 species